GGAAGCGGAAAGGGCACUGGUGGCCCUCCCGGACUUCAAAUCCGGUGCAUCGGGUGAAGAGCUCGAUGGGUGGGUUCGAUUCCCAUGCGCUUCC
rnacentral:tRNA from 1 species